GGGUUGUGAGGUUAAGCGACUAAGCGUACACGGUGGAUGCCCUGGCAGUCAGAGGCGAUGAAGGACGUGCUAAUCUGCGAUAAGCGUCGGUAAGGUGAUAUGAACCGUUAUAACCGGCGAUUUCCGAAUGGGGAAACCCAGUGUGAUUCGUCACACUAUCAUUAACUGAAUCCAUAGGUUAAUGAGGCGAACCGGGGGAACUGAAACAUCUAAGUACCCCGAGGAAAAGAAAUCAACCGAGAUUCCCCCAGUAGCGGCGAGCGAACGGGGAGGAGCCCAGAGCCUGAAUCAGUGUGUGUGUUAGUGGAAGCGUCUGGAAAGGCGCGCGAUACAGGGUGACAGCCCCGUACACAAAAAUGCACAUGCUGUGAGCUCGAUGAGUAGGGCGGGACACGUGGUAUCCUGUCUGAAUAUGGGGGGACCAUCCUCCAAGGCUAAAUACUCCUGACUGACCGAUAGUGAACCAGUACCGUGAGGGAAAGGCGAAAAGAACCCCGGCGAGGGGAGUGAAAAAGAACCUGAAACCGUGUACGUACAAGCAGUGGGAGCACAGAGCAAUCUGUGUGACUGCGUACCUUUUGUAUAAUGGGUCAGCGACUUAUAUUCUGUAGCAAGGUUAACCGAAUAGGGGAGCCGAAGGGAAACCGAGUCUUAACUGGGCGUUAAGUUGCAGGGUAUAGACCCGAAACCCGGUGAUCUAGCCAUGGGCAGGUUGAAGGUUGGGUAACACUAACUGGAGGACCGAACCGACUAAUGUUGAAAAAUUAGCGGAUGACUUGUGGCUGGGGGUGAAAGGCCAAUCAAACCGGGAGAUAGCUGGUUCUCCCCGAAAGCUAUUUAGGUAGCGCCUCGUGAAUUCAUCUCCGGGGGUAGAGCACUGUUUCGGCAAGGGGGUCAUCCCGACUUACCAACCCGAUGCAAACUGCGAAUACCGGAGAAUGUUAUCACGGGAGACACACGGCGGGUGCUAACGUCCGUCGUGAAGAGGGAAACAACCCAGACCGCCAGCUAAGGUCCCAAAGUCAUGGUUAAGUGGGAAACGAUGUGGGAAGGCCCAGACAGCCAGGAUGUUGGCUUAGAAGCAGCCAUCAUUUAAAGAAAGCGUAAUAGCUCACUGGUCGAGUCGGCCUGCGCGGAAGAUGUAACGGGGCUAAACCAUGCACCGAAGCUGCGGCAGCGACGCUUAUGCGUUGUUGGGUAGGGGAGCGUUCUGUAAGCCUGUGAAGGUGUGCUGUGAGGCAUGCUGGAGGUAUCAGAAGUGCGAAUGCUGACAUAAGUAACGAUAAAGCGGGUGAAAAGCCCGCUCGCCGGAAGACCAAGGGUUCCUGUCCAACGUUAAUCGGGGCAGGGUGAGUCGACCCCUAAGGCGAGGCCGAAAGGCGUAGUCGAUGGGAAACAGGUUAAUAUUCCUGUACUUGGUGUUACUGCGAAGGGGGGACGGAGAAGGCUAUGUUGGCCGGGCGACGGUUGUCCCGGUUUAAGCGUGUAGGCUGGUUUUCCAGGCAAAUCCGGAAAAUCAAGGCUGAGGCGUGAUGACGAGGCACUACGGUGCUGAAGCAACAAAUGCCCUGCUUCCAGGAAAAGCCUCUAAGCAUCAGGUAACAUCAAAUCGUACCCCAAACCGACACAGGUGGUCAGGUAGAGAAUACCAAGGCGCUUGAGAGAACUCGGGUGAAGGAACUAGGCAAAAUGGUGCCGUAACUUCGGGAGAAGGCACGCUGAUAUGUAGGUGAAGCGACUUGCUCGUGGAGCUGAAAUCAGUCGAAGAUACCAGCUGGCUGCAACUGUUUAUUAAAAACACAGCACUGUGCAAACACGAAAGUGGACGUAUACGGUGUGACGCCUGCCCGGUGCCGGAAGGUUAAUUGAUGGGGUCAGCGCAAGCGAAGCUCUUGAUCGAAGCCCCGGUAAACGGCGGCCGUAACUAUAACGGUCCUAAGGUAGCGAAAUUCCUUGUCGGGUAAGUUCCGACCUGCACGAAUGGCGUAAUGAUGGCCAGGCUGUCUCCACCCGAGACUCAGUGAAAUUGAACUCGCUGUGAAGAUGCAGUGUACCCGCGGCAAGACGGAAAGACCCCGUGAACCUUUACUAUAGCUUGACACUGAACAUUGAGCCUUGAUGUGUAGGAUAGGUGGGAGGCUUUGAAGUGUGGACGCCAGUCUGCAUGGAGCCGACCUUGAAAUACCACCCUUUAAUGUUUGAUGUUCUAACGUUGACCCGUAAUCCGGGUUGCGGACAGUGUCUGGUGGGUAGUUUGACUGGGGCGGUCUCCUCCUAAAGAGUAACGGAGGAGCACGAAGGUUGGCUAAUCCUGGUCGGACAUCAGGAGGUUAGUGCAAUGGCAUAAGCCAGCUUGACUGCGAGCGUGACGGCGCGAGCAGGUGCGAAAGCAGGUCAUAGUGAUCCGGUGGUUCUGAAUGGAAGGGCCAUCGCUCAACGGAUAAAAGGUACUCCGGGGAUAACAGGCUGAUACCGCCCAAGAGUUCAUAUCGACGGCGGUGUUUGGCACCUCGAUGUCGGCUCAUCACAUCCUGGGGCUGAAGUAGGUCCCAAGGGUAUGGCUGUUCGCCAUUUAAAGUGGUACGCGAGCUGGGUUUAGAACGUCGUGAGACAGUUCGGUCCCUAUCUGCCGUGGGCGCUGGAGAACUGAGGGGGGCUGCUCCUAGUACGAGAGGACCGGAGUGGACGCAUCACUGGUGUUCGGGUUGUCAUGCCAAUGGCACUGCCCGGUAGCUAAAUGCGGAAGAGAUAAGUGCUGAAAGCAUCUAAGCACGAAACUUGCCCCGAGAUGAGUUCUCCCUGACUCCUUGAGAGUCCUGAAGGAACGUUGAAGACGACGACGUUGAUAGGCCGGGUGUGUAAGCGCAGCGAUGCGUUGAGCUAACCGGUACUAAUGAACCGUGAGGCUUAACCUUACAACGCCGAAG
rnacentral:rRNA from 1 species